AACGCACGAGACCUGCGGACCUGCGGAAGGAUCAUUACAUGGCGGAGAAGGUGGGCAACCUGGCCAACAUCCAGGUUGUGAUGCCUUCACGCUCUUCCACCCUUGUCUAUUUGCACCUUCUGUCGUUCCCUCGGCGGGUUUCGACCCGCCGGCGGCAACAUUGAAAAACCCUUUUUGCAGUUAGCAUUCAAUUCUUCUGAUCAAAUAUUAAAUCAUUACAACUUUUAACAACGGAUCUCU
rnacentral:misc_RNA from 1 species